GAUGAACGCUAGCGGGAGGCCUAACACAUGCAAGCCGAGCGGUAUUGUUUCUUCGGAAAUGAGAGAGCGGCGUACGGGUGCGUAACACGUGUGCAACCUGCCUUUAUCUGGGGGAUAGCCUUUCGAAAGGAAGAUUAUUACUCCAUAAUAUAUUGAACGGCAUCGUUUAAUAUUGAAAGCUCCGGCGGAUAGAGAUGGGCACGCGCCAGAUUAGCUAGUUGGUGAGGUAACGGCUCACCACGGCGAUGAUCUUUAAGGGGCCUGAGGAGGUGAUCACCACCACUGGUACUGAGACACGGAACAGACGCCUACGGGGGACAGCAGGGAGGAAUAUUGGUCAAUGGGUGCAAGCCUGAACCAGCCAUCCCGCGUGAAGGACGACUGACCUAUGGGUUGUAAACUUCUUUUGUAUAGGGAUAAACCUACCUUCGUGAGGGUAGCUGAAGGUACUAUACGAAUAAGCACCGGCUAACUCCGUGCCAGCCGCCGCGGUAA
rnacentral:rRNA from 1 species